CUACGGGAGGCUGCAGUGAGGAAUAUUGCACAAUGGGGGAACCCUGAUGCAGCAACGCCGCGUGGAGGAUGACGCAUUUCGGUGUGUAAACUCCUUUUAUAUGUCAAGAAAAUGACGGUAGCAUAUGAAUAAGCACCGGCUAACUCCGUGCCAGCAGCCGCGGUAAUACGGAGGGUGCAAGCGUUACUCGGAAUCACUGGGCGUAAAGGACGCGUAGGCGGGUUGGAAAGUCAGGUGUGAAAUCCUACAGCUUAACUGUAGAACUGCACUUGAAACUUCUAAUCUAGAGUAUGGGAGGGGGAGAUGGAAUUAGUGGUGUAGGGGUAAAAUCCGUAGAUAUCACUAGGAAUACCUAAAGCGAAGGCGAUCUCCUGGAACAUUACUGACGCUAAGGCAUGAAAGCGUGGGGAGCAAACAGGAUUAGAUACCCCUGUAGUC
rnacentral:rRNA from 1 species